rnacentral:rRNA from 1 species
GGCUCAGAAUCAACGCUGGCGGCGUGCCUAACACAUGCAAGUCGAACGCGAAAGCCCCGCAAGGGGUUAGUAGAGUGGCAAACGGGUGAGUAACACGUGGGUGACCUGCCUUCGGGUGGGGGAUAACGUCCCGAAAGGGACGCUAAUACCGCAUAACAUCCUGCCUUUGAAGAGGUGGAGAUCAAAGCUGGGGACCGCAAGGCCUGGCGCUCAAAGAGGGGCCCGCGUCUGAUUAGCUAGUUGGUGAGGUAAUGGCUCACCAAGGCAACGAUCAGUAUCCGGCCUGAGAGGGCGGACGGACACACUGGGACUGAGACACGGCCCAGACUCCUACGGGAGGCNGCAGUGGGGAAUUGUUCGCAAUGGGCGCAAGCCNAANNACGCAACGCCGCGUGGAGGAUGAAGACCUU